GCACUGGUGGUUCAGUGGUAGAAUACUCGCCUGCCACGCGGGUGACUCGGGUUCGAUUCCCGGCCAGUGCA
rnacentral:tRNA from 1 species